rnacentral:rRNA from 1 species
GUACACGCUGUGACUAGCAUAUCAAUAAGCGGAGGAAAAGAAACUAACAAGGAUUCCCCUAGUAACGGCGAGUGAAGCGGGAAGAGCUCAAAUUUGAAAUCUUAAAGGGUUUCCCUUUACGAAUUGUAGUUUAAAGAAGUGUUUUCUGUUGAGGUUUUGGUAAAAGUUCUUUGGAAUAGGACAUCAUAGAGGGUGAGAAUCCCGUAUUUGACCUUUACUUUCAACUUUGUGAUACACUUUCAAAGAGUCGGAUUGUUUGGGAAUGCAGUCCAAAAUGGGUGGUAAAUUUCAUCUAAAGCUAAAUAUUGGCGAGAGACCGAUAGCGAACAAGUACCGUGAGGGAAAGAUGAAAAGAACUUUGAAAAGAGAGUUAAACAGUACGUGAAAUUGUCAAAAGGGAAGCGUUUGACACCAGUGUUGUUUUUCUGAAAAUCAAUUAAAGAACUGUUUAUCGCUAAGCUGUUUAGACUUUAUCAGCUAUCUGUUUAGUUUUGAGCUUUUCUUUAAUGCACUUUUCAGUUAACAAGUCAACAUCAAUUUCUUUUGCUGUAAAAAAGCUUGAGGAAGGUGGCUUGAGAUUCGUCUUAAGUGUUUAUAGCCUCUUGCCUAUGCAGUCGGAGAGAUUGAGGUCUGCAGCGUAGAUCCUUCGGGGCUAAAUGCAUUUGUGCUAAGUUAUAGCAUUUUAUAGACAACUUGUUGACUAUGAUUUGUCUUGUAGCUUACUCGCUUAUGUUAUUUUACCUACGCUUAGGAUGUUGAAGAUGUAGCACAUCAU